rnacentral:lncRNA from 1 species
UGCCAGCACGCUGUCACCUCUCAUUAGGACCUGGGUUCACAAGGCUUGGCACAGGGAAGGCCUGGGCCCUGUGUUUGCAGGUGCCUGCCAGGUGUUUGAGCCCAGGUGUGCCAUCCUUGUUCUAGGAUGGGGCUGAAGCCCAGGGCCACUGGGGCCUGCCUAGUGCUUGGGUCAGCCUACUGCAGGGGCAGGACCAGAGACCAAGUCCACCAGGCUGGGCUGGAACCUGGGACUGCAGAAUCUGGCCUGACAUUAGUAUGGGCUUGGAGGCUCAGUUUGCUGAUACUAGCCUGGCAAUGGGUAAGCCUGGAGCCUGUAUCCAUAGGGGCCAGCCUGGCAGCUGGGUCUACCAGGUAGGCCCAGAACCUGGAGCUGUGAGAUCUAGCCUGGUGCUAGGGCAGACGUGAAGGCUCAGUCCCCGACUUAUUUUCUUGAUGUUAGGUUAGAUUUUGAUGGGCAGAAAUUUUAGAUUUUGAUAAAGCCCCUUUUUUAUGGUUUGUGUCCUUAGUAUCCAUUUUAAGAAAUCGCUGCCUACCCCAAGGUCAGAAAGAUAUUCUGUAGUAAUAGUAGAGAUUUUAAAGUAUCUUAUGUUCAUCUUAUGUCAUAUUCAGAAAAAUUGCUUGUAGGAGUAGUUGACUAUAGCAUUUUGUUAUUUUUUUCCAGAGAGGAUUCAUUUUUUAUACUAGGCAGCUGUCAGUACUUGCAAUCUUGGGAGCGCCCUCAUCCAGUAUCAAGGAUUGAGAUAAUUUGAAGCCGGGAUUUGUAGAAGCUAAAAGGAUUGAGAUUAUUUGCAGUCCCAGGGAAGGUCAAUCUCCUUUAGGUUUCUCCUUACUUAUAAAGUCAAGUCCUAAUCUAAUCCCUUCCAUUCUUGGCUCUGAAUUCCAGCUCUCUUUCUCGUAGCCCCAAGAAUUUAAGUCAGAUAUUCAUGGUCACAUAGUUGUGAAAUCCCACAUGGUAGUGGUACGAUUUCAACCUAGGCAGUCUAACUUCAGAUCCUGGGUUAUUAAAAGGAACCUUCCACGUCACCCCUACCAUGAGGGAUGAGUUUCAUUUGUUUUGUUUCCCAUUGUACACCCACACCUCACAUGACAUGUAGUAGGUAUUCAGAAAAUAUUCAAUAUAAGAAUGAACCUUCUCUUGGUCCAUUUGGGAUACUAUAGCAAGAUACCACAGACUAUGUGGCUUAAAAACAGUAGUUUAUUGCUUACAGUUCUGAUGGCUGUGAAGUCCAAGAUCAAGGUGGCAGCACAUUCCUUGUCUAGUGAGGACCCCUUUCCUGGUUGGCCUGUCUUUUCUUUGUGUCCUCACAUGGUGGAAGGAAUGAGGGAUCUCUGUGGGGACUCUUUUAUAAGGGAACUCAUCCCAUUCUAAUACCUCUCUAAAUCCCCACUUCA